rnacentral:rRNA from 1 species
AUUGAACGCUGGCGGCAGGCUUAACACAUGCAAGUCGAGCGGGGGAAGGUAGCCUGCUACCGGACCUAGCGGCGGACGGGUGAGUAAUGCUUAGGAAUCUGCCUAUUAGUGGGGGACAACAUCUCGAAAGGGAUGCCAAUACCGCAUACGUCCUACGGGAGAAAGCAGGGGAUCUUCGGACCUUGCGCUAAUAGAUGAGCCUAAGUCGGAUUAGCUAGUUGGUGGGGUAAAGGCCUACCAAGGCGACGAUCUGUAGCGGGUCUGAGAGGAUGAUCCGCCACACUGGGACUGAGACACGGCCCAGACUCCUACGGGAGGCAGCAGUGGGGAAUAUUGGACAAUGGGCGCAAGCCUGAUCCAGCCAUGCCGCGUGUGUGAAGAAGGCCUUAUGGUUGUAAAGCACUUUAAGCGAGGAGGAGGCUACUUUAGAUAAUACCUAGAGAUAGUGGACGUUACUCGCAGAAUAAGCACCGGCUAACUCUGUGCCAGCAGCCGCCGUAACAC